rnacentral:misc_RNA from 1 species
AACGCACAUUGCGCCCAUUAGUAUUCUAGUGGGCAUGCCUAUUCGAGCGUCAUUUCAACCCUUAAGCCUUAGUUGCUUAGCGUUGGGAGUCUGCGCUGUACUUGUUACGGCGCAGUUCCUCAAAGUGAUUGGCGGAGUUAGGGCAUACUCUAAGCGUAGUAAUAUUUCUUCUCGCUUCUGUAGUUGUCCUGGCGGCUUGCCGUUAAACCCCUAUAUUUUCUAGUGGUUGACCUCGGAUUAGGUAGGAAUACCCGCUGAACUUAA